rnacentral:rRNA from 1 species
GACGAACCGAGCGAACGUUGUUCGGAAUCACUGGGCUUAAAGGGCGCGUAGGCGGGCUGUCAAGUCUGGGGUGAAAUCCCGCGGCUCAACCGUGGAACUGCCUCAGAUACUGACGGUCUCGAGGGAGGUAGGGGCGAGCGGAACUGAUGGUGGAGCGGUGAAAUGCGUUGAUAUCAUCAGGAACUCCGGUGGCGAAGGCGGCUCGCUGGACCUCUUCUGACGCUGAGGCGCGAAAGCUAGGGGAGCAAACGGG